UGAUGAUGGUAAGGGUAAUUUCUGAGCAUACUCUUAAAUAUCUCCCAAGCAUGGUAGAGAUUCUCUCCUUCUUUCUGUUUGAAACUCAGAAUCUUACUUCUUGAACG